CUGGCGGCAGGCCUACCAUGCAGUCGAGCGGAUGAGGGAGCUUGCUCCUGGAUUCAGCGGCGGACGGGUGAGUAAUGCCUAGGAAUCUGCCUGGUAGUGGGGGAUAACGUCCGGAAACGGGCGCUAAUACCGCAUACGUCCUGAGGGAGAAAGUGGGGGAUCUUCGGACCUCACGCUAUCAGAUGAGCCUAGGUCGGAUUAGCUAGUUGGUGGGGUAAAGGCCUACCAAGGCGACGAUCCGUAACUGGUCUGAGAGGAUGAUCAGUCACACUGGAACUGAGACACGGUCCAGACUCCUACGGGAGGCAGCAGUGGGGAAUAUUGGACAAUGGGCGAAAGCCUGAUCCAGCCCAUGCCGCGUGUGUGAAGAAGGUCUUCGGAUUGUAAAGCACUUUAGGUUGGGAGGAAGGGCAGUAAGUUAAUACCUUGCUGUUUUGACGUUACCAACAGAAUAAGCA
rnacentral:rRNA from 1 species